AAAAGUAAAAAUUGUAUUUUAUUUCAUAGUUUAUGUGUACAAGGCACACUAAAACAUUAUAUACAUAUGUCAGUGUCAAUACAUUAUGGAAUGUACAUGUGGCAAACAUUUGCAAUGUACCAACAACAAAAGUGACCUGAAAGUUGUAGACACACAUACACAAAAUAAAAUAUUGCACGCAGCUGUUUAAAUAUGUUCACAUGAAUUGUUCAACCAGAGUGACCUCCAAAAAGUGUUCAAGUUAAAUUCUGAAGUCUUAUCACAUAAGAGACUUCACUUGAAAGCAAAACAAACAAAGGGAGCAAAGUAGACCAAAAAAAAAAAAAAGCACUUUAUCA